ACGUGACUCUGUGGCAUGGCGCUGUUGUUUUAAUGUGCAGAGUAUCUACAAUACUAUUAAUUUCUAAUAACCCAAGCGUCUAUAUGCAUGGUUAAAAUAAAUAUUUGAAAUGCUGCCUCCUCCAGCCGUGUUUCACUUCCUCUGGGAGAUCAGUACAGACCUGGUGAAAGAUGGAGCGUCAGUGCGAACGUAUGGCAGACUUAUAAGUUAUGAGCCAGAAGGUCCCAAAGCCAUUCUAAGUGGUCAGCAGUCUUCUGCACAGUGCCAUGUGUCUGUACAAACAACACUUGUUGAACCAUUCCAGCCUACACUUGGAGCUCAGUAUUUUGUUCUUGGUGAAAUUGAAAAGACUGAUGGAUUAAGUGGAGCUGUACUGCAUGCUCGCGCUUUGAGUAGUGUUGAUGGCGUAGACCUCACACUAUUGCAAAAGGCCAUUAUGGAACAGAGAUGUUUCUUUAAGGAGAGAAUGCCUGAGAUGAAUAUGCAAACUCCAAACUGUGAAAAAGGAAAAACCUGUAAAAUGUCAACUCUGUUGAUGGCAUCAGGAUCAGGUGGAGGAAACAUAAAGCAAACUCCAGGAAAUUUUUUGAUUGUCCCAUCAUUGGACUGAACCUCCCAGUUGUCAAUGUCUGUGUUGGACUUCAGAUUAAACAGCUCUCCUCUGUUCAAUGAAGCCUGAGAAGAAUCCCAUUGAUUAGCAAAUUAAUAGAAGAAUAUAAAAUUAGUAACCAAAGCUUUGCAUGUUAGAAAAAAAAAUCUUUACAUUUUAAUAACACAAAAAUAACAUUAUAUUUUUUUUCUAGAGAUUCUAACCUUGGGAGUUUUCCAGUCACACAGAGACUCAACCGUGGUAGUUCUGCUUGGAGGAGUGCGACGAAGCUUUAGUGGUGUGAUAGAGGUGCUUCGCUUUCUCAGAAACAGUUGUUUUCACGGAUUCCUCUAAACCAACACACAGGACGACAAUGAUCUCAUAUUGUAGCAAAACGUAAUUUCAUAAAAAUCUCACACCAAAUUCCAUUAUGGGUCAGAUAAAGGACACAUCCAAAAUGUGUACUGCUGGGGUGCCUACAGGAUGUCCAGGUAGGGAAAUACUGAAUUACAUAAUACAUAGCGCAUACAAUUACUAAAACGUAACAAUUUUUCUGAAUGGUUCUGAUGUCUACUUUUAUCUAUUCUAUUUUAGAACUUAUAAAAUAUUUGUUUCUUUCUGCCUUCUACAACAUUUUACUAGAACUAUAUUGUGUUUGUCUUUAAAAUGUCACGUUUGCAUGACCGUGUCGAAACAAUGGACCAACACCCAGCAGCCUAGUGGAGGAACAAGAACGUCAGCCCUUACAGGAACUGAGCUUAGGCAGCCAGGACACUCCUUACACUUUUCAUUUUUUAAAAUCUGGUUUUAUUGAGAGACCCUGAUUACUGCAUGUUUACACAACAUGUUAACACCUUUAUUUAGCUGUUCAGUUGUAUCUAUAUGCAUUAAUCAGAUUUGACUAGUGGUGUGUUCUGAUCUCUAUACAACAAUUCUGACUUCUAAGAACAUGCUUACAGGUGAACAAGGAUGACAUAUAUUUUAUAUAUAUAAUUAACAAAAUAAAUAGAUGGUACUGAUUUUAUAUUAUACAAAGUCAAUAAAAUGUUCCUAUUAAGUAGAGCAGACAGGGAGCUCAAUUUGGAAUGAAAUUCAAAUUGUAAUUCUAAAUUUGAACAUUUGAACAUGACUGAUGUGGUUAAAUAAGCUGUUUAUAUAAAAUAAACAUUGCAUGCACAAAAAUGUGCAUUAGAGAUUUAGAAUAUGGUGGCCUGAUGUCCAGAAAUCCAUAACCACACGAUUUUAUUCCAGAUUUUAUAACUGUUAAAUUAAUGUACUAUGUUUUUUUUUUGUUUUUUUUAAGAUAUGCAUUUUCUGUUUCAUGUCUCUGUUCUUCAUCAACCCUGAACAAACCAUAAUAAUUCCAACUUGUGUUUGGAAAGCAAAGGUUAUAUUGUAACCAAAACAAUCUAGGCCAACAGAACUGGUUAUUCUUUCUUGUUUCCAUUUCCUUGUAAAAUGUAAAAUGAGAAUAAAAUAUCACUGACCAAGAAACCAAUUUUAUCCACAAAUUGGUUGUUGUAGGCCCCAGCAAAUAAAAUUUCUAAAAAAUUACAGAUCACUUCUUGAUUGUAAAGGGUUAACCAUUACAGAUUUCAGAUCUAAUGUUCCCAGGAAAACAGAGUCAACCAUCUUUACACCUUCACUGGGCUCUGAUUACCCGAGUCUGUCUAAAACUGAUCUCAGACCUGUCUGGCAACAGAACAGACCCAAAACAGCCUAGAGGAUAAAAUAACCAAC